rnacentral:rRNA from 1 species
CUGUGAGCUCGAUGAGUAGGGCGGGACACGUGGUAUCCUGUCUGAAUAUGGGGGGACCAUCCUCCAAGGCUAAAUACUCCUGACUGACCGAUAGUGAACCAGUACCGUGAGGGAAAGGCGAAAAGAACCCCGGCGAGGGGAGUGAAAAAGAACCUGAAACCGUGUACGUACAAGCAGUGGGAGCACAGAGCAAUCUGUGUGACUGCGUACCUUUUGUAUAAUGGGUCAGCGACUUAUAUUCUGUAGCAAGGUUAACCGAAUAGGGGAGCCGAAGGGAAACCGAGUCUUAACUGGGCGUUAAGUUGCAGGGUAUAGACCCGAAACCCGGUGAUCUAGCCAUGGGCAGGUUGAAGGUUGGGUAACACUAACUGGAGGACCGAACCGACUAAUGUUGAAAAAUUAGCGGAUGACUUGUGGCUGGGGGUGAAAGGCCAAUCAAACCGGGAGAUAGCUGGUUCUCCCCGAAAGCUAUUUAGGUAGCGCCUCGUGAAUUCAUCUCCGGGGGUAGAGCACUGUUUCGGCAAGGGGGUCAUCCCGACUUACCAACCCGAUGCAAACUGCGAAUACCGGAGAAUGUUAUCACGGGAGACACACGGCGGGUGCUAACGUCCGUCGUGAAGAGGGAAACAACCCAGACCGCCAGCUAAGGUCCCAAAGUCAUGGUUAAGUGGGAAACGAUGUGGGAAGGCCCAGACAGCCAGGAUGUUGGCUUAGAAGCAGCCAUCAUUUAAAGAAAGCGUAAUAGCUCACUGGUCGAGUCGGCCUGCGCGGAAGAUGUAACGGGGCUAAACCAUGCACCGAAGCUGCGGCAGCGACGCUUAUGCGUUGUUGGGUAGGGGAGCGUUCUGUAAGCCUGUGAAGGUGUACUGUGAGGUAUGCUGGAGGUAUCAGAAGUGCGAAUGCUGACAUAAGUAACGAUAAAGCGGGUGAAAAGCCCGCUCGCCGGAAGACCAAGGGUUCCUGUCCAACGUUAAUCGGGGCAGGGUGAGUCGACCCCUAAGGCGAGGCCGAAAGGCGUAGUCGAUGGGAAACAGGUUAAUAUUCCUGUACUUGGUGUUACUGCGAAGGGGGGACGGAGAAGGCUAUGUUGGCCGGGCGACGGUUGUCCCGGUUUAAGCGUGUAGGCUGGUUUUCCAGGCAAAUCCGGAAAAUCAAGGCUGAGGCGUGAUGACGAGGCACUACGGUGCUGAAGCAACAAAUGCCCUGCUUCCAGGAAAAGCCUCUAAGCAUCAGGUAACAUCAAAUCGUACCCCAAACCGACACAGGUGGUCAGGUAGAGAAUACCAAGGCGCUUGAGAGAACUCGGGUGAAGGAACUAGGCAAAAUGGUGCCGUAACUUCGGGAGAAGGCACGCUGAUAUGUAGGUGAAGUCCCUUGCGGAUGGAGCUGAAAUCAGUCGAAGAUACCAGCUGGCUGCAACUGUUUAUUAAAAACACAGCACUGUGCAAACACGAAAGUGGACGUAUACGGUGUGACGCCUGCCCGGUGCCGGAAGGUUAAUUGAUGGGGUCAGCGCAAGCGAAGCUCUUGAUCGAAGCCCCGGUAAACGGCGGCCGUAACUAUAACGGUCCUAAGGUAGCGAAAUUCCUUGUCGGGUAAGUUCCGACCUGCACGAAUGGCGUAAUGAUGGCCAGGCUGUCUCCACCCGAGACUCAGUGAAAUUGAACUCGCUGUGAAGAUGCAGUGUACCCGCGGCAAGACGGAAAGACCCCGUGAACCUUUACUAUAGCUUGACACUGAACAUUGAGCCUUGAUGUGUAGGAUAGGUGGGAGGCUUUGAAGUGUGGACGCCAGUCUGCAUGGAGCCGACCUUGAAAUACCACCCUUUAAUGUUUGAUGUUCUAACGUGGACCCGUGAUCCGGGUUGCGGACAGUGUCUGGUGGGUAGUUUGACUGGGGCGGUCUCCUCCUAAAGAGUAACGGAGGAGCACGAAGGUUGGCUAAUCCUGGUCGGACAUCAGGAGGUUAGUGCAAUGGCAUAAGCCAGCUUGACUGCGAGCGUGACGGCGCGAGCAGGUGCGAAAGCAGGUCAUAGUGAUCCGGUGGUUCUGAAUGGAAGGGCCAUCGCUCAACGGAUAAAAGGUACUCCGGGGAUAACAGGCUGAUACCGCCCAAGAGUUCAUAUCGACGGCGGUGUUUGGCACCUCGAUGUCGGCUCAUCACAUCCUGGGGCUGAAGUAGGUCCCAAGGGUAUGGCUGUUCGCCAUUUAAAGUGGUACGCGAGCUGGGUUUAGAACGUCGUGAGACAGUUCGGUCCCUAUCUGCCGUGGGCGCUGGAGAACUGAGGGGGGCUGCUCCUAGUACGAGAGGACCGGAGUGGACGCAUCACUGGUGUUCGGGUUGUCAUGCCAAUGGCACUGCCCGGUAGCUAAAUGCGGAAGAGAUAAGUGCUGAAAGCAUCUAAGCACGAAACUUGCCCCGAGAUGAGUUCUCCCUGACUCCUUGAGAGUCCUGAAGGAACGUUGAAGACGACGACGUUGAUAGGCCGGGUGUGUAAGCGCAGCGAUGCGUUGAGCUAACCGGUACUAAUGAACCGUGAGGCUUAACCUU